rnacentral:rRNA from 1 species
UACGUAUGGUGCAAGCGUUAUCCGGAUUUACUGGGUGUAAAGGGAGCGCAGGCGGCAGGGCAAGUCUGAUGUGAAAACCCGGGGCUCAACCCCGGGAUUGCAUUGGAAACUGUCAGGCUAGAGUGUCGGAGAGGUAAGUGGAAUUCCUAGUGUAGCGGUGAAAUGCGUAGAUAUUAGGAGGAACACCAGUGGCGAAGGCGACUUACUGGACGAUAACUGACGCUGAGGCUCGAAAGCGUGGGGAGCAAACAGG